GGCGGUAUAGAUCAGUGGUAGAGUGGAUGCUUAGCAUGCGUGAGGUCCUGAGUUCAAUUCUCAGUUCCUCCA
rnacentral:tRNA from 1 species